UGUCACGAUUCAGCCUAACAACUAGUA
rnacentral:piRNA from 1 species